rnacentral:rRNA from 1 species
AGAGCGAACGCUGGCGGCAGGCUUAACACAUGCAAGUCGAGCGCUCGUAGCAAUACGAGAGCGGCAGACGGGAGAGUAACACGUGGGAACGUACCCUUCGGUUCGGAACAACCCAGGGAAACUUGGGCUAAAUACCGGAUACGUCCGUAAGGAGAAAGAUUUAUCGCCGAAGGAUCGGCCCGCGUCUGAUUAGCUAGUUGGUGAGGUAACGGCUCACCAAGGCGACGAUCAGUAGCUGGUCUGAGAGGAUGAUCAGCCUCACUGGGACUGAGACACGGCCCAGACUCCUACGGGAGGCAGCAGUGGGAAUCUUGCGCAAUGGCCGGAAGGCUGACGCAGCGACGCCGCGUGUGGGAGGACGCCCUUCGGGGUGUAAACCACUGUUGCCCGGGACGAAAUCUCCUUUGGGGAGACGUGACGGUACCGGGUGAGGAAGCACCGGCUAACUCCGUGCCAGCAGCCGC